rnacentral:rRNA from 1 species
AGUGAACGCUGGCGGUAGCCCAACCCCUUGCAAUUCAACCGCAGCACCGUAAAGGCUUGCUCUUUCGGGUUGCCAGUGGCCGACGGGGGAAGAAUUCCAUCGAAUCCACUUUUUCGUGGGGGAAAACGUAGGGAAACUUACGCCUAUACCGCAUUAGACCUACCGGUGAAAGCCGGGGAUCCUCGGACCUUUCGCGAUUUAAUGAGCCGAUGUCGGAUUAGCUAGUUGGCGGGGUAAAGGCCCACCAAGGCGACGAUCCGUAGCUGGUCUGAGAGGAUGAUCAGCCACACUGGAACUGAGACACGGUCCAGACUCCUACGGGAGGCAGCAGUGGGGAAUAUUGGACAAUGGGCGCAAGCCUGAUCCAGCCAUACCGCGUGGGUGAAGAAGGCCUUCGGGUUGUAAAGCCCUUUUGUUGGGAAAGAAAAGCAGCAGGUUAAUACCCCGCUGUUCUGACGGUACCCAAAGAAUAAGCACCGGCUAACUUCGUG